rnacentral:rRNA from 1 species
GUCCCGCAACGAGCGCAACCCUUGUCUUUAGUUACCAUCAUUCAGUUGGGGACUCUAGAGAGACUGCCGGUGAUAAACCGGAGGAAGGUGGGGGAUGACGUCAAAUCAUCAUGCCCCUUAUGGCCUGGGCCACAAACGUAAUACAAUGGCGUAUACAAAGGGAUGCGAAAGGGCGACCUGGAGCAAAAACUCACAAAGUACGUCUCAGUUCAGAUUGGAGUCUGCAACUCGACUCCAUGAAGGCGGAAUCGCUAGUAAUCGCGGAUCAGCAUGCCGCGGUGAAUACGUUCUCGGGGUUU